rnacentral:rRNA from 1 species
UAGGGAAUCUUCCACAAUGGGCGAAAGCCUGAUGGAGCAACGCCGCGUGUGUGAUGAAGGCUUUCGGGUCGUAAAGCACUGUUGUAUGGGAAGAACAGCUAGAAUAGGAAAUGAUUUUAGUUUGACGGUACCAUACCAGAAAGGGACGGCUAAAUACGUGCGAG